AUUGAACGCUGGCGGCAUGCCUUACACAUGCAAGUCGAACGGCAGCACGGGGGCAACCCUGGUGGCGAGUGGCGAACGGGUGAGUAACACAUCGGAACGUGCCUGGUAGUGGGGGAUAGCUCGGCGAAAGCCGGAUUAAUACCGCAUACGACCUACGGGUGAAAGCGGGGAUCGCAAGACCUCGCGCUAUCGGAGCGGCCGAUGUCAGAUUAGGUUGUUGGUGGGGUAAAGGCCACCAAGCCGACGAUCUGUAGCUGGUCUGAGAGGACGACCAGCCACACUGGGACUGAGACACGGCCCAGACUCCUACGGGAGGCAGCAGUGGGGAAUUUUGGACAAUGGGCGCAAGCCUGAUCCAGCCAUGCCGCGUGCGGGAAGAAGGCCU
rnacentral:rRNA from 1 species